rnacentral:rRNA from 1 species
GGGUACCNACUACAGAUGGACCAGCGCGCAUUAGCUAGUUGGUGAGGUAAAGGCUCACCAAAGCAACGAUGCGUAGCCGACCUGAGAGGGUGAUCGGCCACACUGGGACUGAGACACGGCCCAGACUCAUACGGGAGGCAGCAGUAGGGAAUCUUCCGCAAUGGACGAAAGUCUGACGGAGCAACGCCGCGUGAGUGAUGAAGGUUUUCGGAUCGUAAAGCUCUGUUGUUAGGGAAGAACAAGUACCGUUCGAAUAGGGCGGUACCUUGACGGUACCUAACCAGAAAGCCACGGCUAACUACGUGCCAGCAGCCGCGGUAAUACGUAGGUGGCAAGCGUUGUCCGGAAUUAUUGGGCGUAAAGGGCUCGCAGGCGGUUUCUUAAGUCUGAUGUGAAAGCCCCCGGCUCAACCGGGGAGGGUCAUUGGAAACUGGGGAACUUGAGUGCAGAAGAGGAGAGUGGAAUUCCACGUGUAGCGGUGAAAUGCGUAGAGAUGUGGAGGAACACCAGUGGCGAAGGCGACUCUCUGGUCUGUAACUGACGCUGAGGAGCGAAAGCGUGGGGAGCGAACAGGAUUAGAUACCCUGGUAGUCCACGCCGUAAACGAUGAGUGCUAAGUGUUAGGGGGUUUCCGCCCCUUAGUGCUGCAGCUAACGCAUUAAGCACUCCGCCUGGGGAGUACGGUCGCAAGACUGAAACUCAAAGGAAUUGACGGGGGCCCGCACAAGCGGUGGAGCAUGUGGUUUAAUUCGAAGCAACGCGAAGAACCUUACCAGGUCUUGACAUCCUCUGACAAUCCUAGAGAUAGGACGUCCCCUUCGGGGGCAGAGUGACAGGUGGUGCAUGGUUGUCGUCAGCCUC